rnacentral:rRNA from 1 species
UAGAGUUUGAUCCUGGCCCAGGAUAAACGCUGGCGGCGUGCCUAAUACAUGCAAGUCGAACGAGGGCGGCCAAGCUUGCUUGGCCAAACGAGUGGCGAACGGGUGAGUAACACAUAAGCAACCUGCCCACGGAGACCGGGAUAAUCUCUGGAAACGGGGACUAAAACCGGAUAGGUAGCACAGCCGCAUGGUAGUGCUAUAAAAGGUGAGAGACACUGGUGGAUGGGCUUAUGGCGCAUUAGCUAGUUGGUGAGGUAAAGGCCCACCAAGGCGAUGAUGCGUAGCCGGCCUGAGAGGGUGAACGGCCACAUUGGGACUGAGACACGGCCCAGACUCCUACGGGAGGCAGCAGUAGGGAAUUUUCGGCAAUGGGGGGAACCCUGACCGAGCAACGCCGCGUGAACGAUGAAGGUCUUCGGAUUGUAAAGUUCUGUUGUACGGGAAGAACGGUAUGGAGAGGAUCCAUAAGUGACGGUACCGUACCAGAAAGCCACGGCUAACUACGUGCCAGCAGCCGCGGUAAUACGUAGUGGCGAGCGUUAUCCGGAAUUAUUGGGCGUAAAGGGUGCGUAGCGGUCUGUUAAGUUCAUGGUUAAAGCGUGGGGCUCCAACCCCAUAAAGCCACGGAUACUGGCAGACUAGAGUACUGGAAAGGGCAGUGGAAUUCCAUGUGUAGCGGUAAAAUGCGUAGAUAUAUGGAGGAACACCGGUGGCGAAGGCGGCUGCCUGGACAGAGACUGACGCUGAGGCACGAAAGCGUGGGGAGCAAAUAGGAUUAGAUACCCUAGUAGUCCACGCCGUAAACGAUGGAUACUAAGUAUUGGGGCAACUCAGUGCUGCAGUUAACGAAUAAGUAUCCCCCCUGUGGAGUAUGCACGCAAGUGUGAAACAUAAAGGAUUGACGGGGGCCCGACAGCGGUGGAGAUGUGGUUUAAUUCGACGCAACGCGAAGAACCUUACCAGGCCUUGACAUCCCGUGCAAAGGUAUAGAGAUAUACCGGAGGUUACCAAGGUGACAGGUGGUGCAUGGUGUCGUCAGCUCGUGUCGUGAGAUGUUGGGUUAAGUCCCGCAACGAGCGCAACCCUUGUCUUCAGUUACCAAUAUCAAGUUAGGGACUCUGGAGAGACUGCCGGUGAUAAACCGGAGGAAGGUGGGGAUGACGUCAAGUCCUCAUGGCCCUUACGGGCUGGGCUACACACGUACUACAAUGGCGAAUACAAAGGGAAGCAAGCGUGCGAACGCAAGCGGAUCCUAUAAAAUUCGUCUCAGUUCAGAUUGCACUCUGCAACUCGAGUGCAUGAAGUUGGAAUCGCUAGUAAUCGCGAAUCAGCAGGUCGCGGUGAAUACGUUCCCGGGCCUUGUACACACCGCCCGUCACACCAUGGGAGUUGGUUCUACCUGAAGGCGCUGUGCUGACCGCAAGGAGGCAGGUGACCACGGUAGGAUCAGUGACUGGGGUGAAGUCGUAACAAGGUAACCGUA